GUUAUCAAGAAAGGUAGAGGGAUUAGACCCGUUGACGCCUUAGCAACCCUCUAACCUAAUUAGAGUAGGUGCUAAAUUCUACUAUUUAUGUUUUAUAAUUAGAUAGAUAA
rnacentral:ncRNA from 1 species